CCCUGCCUACCUGAGGCCUUCCAAAGGUGACUGCUGAAAAGAGGUUGGCUGUGUCUCUUUGACUCUCGUACUUAAGGUUUGGAUGUGGGGUGCUGAAGCAAAGUCUUGAGAGGUGUGUGGUCUUGGACCUCAGCAUGGAGCGGCACUGGGAUCUAGAUCUUUGCUUUCUCUCCUGUUUGUAAGAAGCAAACACAGGUUUUGAAGAAACUGUAUGCUAUCACCUGCUGGAAUUUGGUAGCAGUGGGAGUUUGGGUUCAGUCCCUUCACUGUGAUGUUUCUUAGCCUGGAGUCUCACCAGAAAUCCUCUGGGGAAGGCACUGGGAGAAGAACCCACUUUAUGCUUGGGUGGUAAAGCCAACUUGCUGCUAGAGUGCACAGGAGACCAAUGACCUGGGGAGUGCCAAUCGGUGUCCUCGUCGCCCCUAUUUCAUGACCUUCUUCAGAAAGACGAUAUGCAGGACACAUCAGCAGCAGUGUAAGCAGCAUGUGAGGCGUAUAGACCUGGGGACAUCAAAUCCGAGAUCACUGCAACUCUCCACAGUCUGUGAACUGGCGAGAUACUAUGCUGUAUCCUCUCCAAACAUUCUCCAAAAGCCAUUAAUUACAGUUAUCAGGGAAAGAGUUUGGUGCUGAGUUCAAGAUACUGAACCGGAGACAUGGGGAGAGCCAAUUCAGAAGGAAAAUCACCUCUGCAUCCUACAGCACUGUCUGACAUCAAAAGGCCCCUGCCCUUAUGCUGGAAAAUGGAUGUUCAAGGUAGUCCCAGGAUAUAGCUCUGCCUCCCCCAAACCCUGAUACUGCGGGUGUUAGAAGAAGCCUUGAUAGGGGGAAAUAUAAACAGAAAAAGACAUCUGGGGACUGUAGCCAACAACUACGUUUUGGCACUGCAAACCAAACCACAGCCUCAGCACUGCAAGGAGGAUAUCUGCUGGGGUCAUUGCUCUCUGGGAGGAACCACAUGGGGACAAAUAUCUCCCAUCCCCACUGCCUGCUAGGGGGUGGGAGCAGGUCAAGGGGGCAGUGGCAUCAUUAA